ensembl:lncRNA
CAGAACAGCACGGUGAUAUCAGUGCAGACAUGGAAUGCGGGGAACAAGACAGCAUCAUUUUUUCUCUUCUCUGUGAGGAGAAUCUGGGACCAAAUGUUUGCUGAGGCUGUGCCAAAAAUGAAGGGAAGGGAAAACAAGAAUGUAUUCCUGGAGUGCAAGACCCGGUCCUGCAGAUAUACCCUUAUACCCUUCGUUAAAGGAAGAGACUUGGCCCAAAGAACUACUUUUCCUUGGUGGAUGUCAUCUGUCUGCUCAGAACUGGUUUCCUUGCUGCCUUUUCUCACAGCCCUUCUGAUUGUUUUGGGUUUUUCUUCAUGGCUACCUAAACUUUACAAAGCAACAGCCAAUGAAAUUCUUCAAUUUUGGUGGGCCAAGUGAAGCCAUUUCUUUCUGAUUUUUUUUCUCCCCAAGAAGAUUUCUGAAAGAUCUGAAUAGUCUAUAGAAAAGUCUUUGUUACAUAGUCUUUGCUAUCAAAGUCUUUGAUACCCAUAAAUUCACAUUGCAAUAUAUAUAUAUAUAUAU